CACCCAUGUCUUUUGCGCACUUGUUGUUUCCUGGGCGGGUUCGCCCGCCACCAGGACCAAACCAUAAACCUUUUUUUUCUUAUGCAGUUUCCAUCAGCGUCAGUAAAAACAAUGUAAUUAUUACAACUUUCAACAACGGAUCUCUUGGUUCUGGCAUCGAUGAAGAACGCAGCGAAAUGCGAUACGUAGUGUGAAUUGCAGAAUUCAGUGAAUCAUCGAAUCUUUGAACGCACAUUGCGCCCUUUGGUAUUCCAAAGGGCAUGCCUGUUCGAGCGUCAUUUGUACCUUCAAGCUUUGCUUGGUGUUGGGCGUUUUUUUGUCUCCCUCUUUCUGGGAGACUCGCCUUAAAACGAUUGGCAGCCGGCCUACUGGUUUCGGAGCGCAGCACAUUUUUUGCGCUUUGUAUCAGGAGAAAAGGACGGUACUCCAUCAAGACUCUACAUUUUUCACUUUUGACCUCGGAUCAGGUAGGGAUACCCGCUGAACUUAAGCAUAUCAAAAGCCGGGAGGAA
rnacentral:rRNA from 1 species